AAAUUGCAGAAGGUGGCUUUACUUGGAACUGCUUCCGAUGUGACGAUAUCUGUAACACCGUCAAGCAAAAAGAACUGGAGAUCAUAAAAUGCAAAGACCUGCAACAGAAAGAGAAUGACUGUGGCAAAAAAAAGCAAAGAUUCAAGUCUGGAAUUCCCUCAAAGCAACCCAAGCACUUUGCACAACCUUCAAAGUUUUGGUGCUAUAUAUUCCCAUUUAAUUUACUCAACCAAGGUCAAGCAAGGAAACACAUUAAUCAUCAGAAAUGCUACUUGUAAGAUUUAAGUUAAAAUUGGAACUUGAGAGCCAGAGAGUUAUAAAGGACUACACGGAUCAUUUACACCAUUUACAUCAGAGACAUUGGCUGAAUUGUCCAGAUUAAAACCAAUACCUGGAAGAUGCUUGAUUGUUCAUAAAACCAACUUCAUUUAGC